GCACAGUCACUGGGGUCUCGGCGCGGUGCGGCGACCAAAAGGCCUAGGCUGGCCCGGAACCGCCCCCGGGUGCCCUCUGGCGGGUGUCUGAGGGCCCGUACAUGGAAUUGCUGAUGACAGGGAAGGUGAACCCCUCAGGCCACAGGUUAAUCCAAACUCAGCGGCCCCAGUGAGUGGUGGUGGUGGGGGAUAUGACUACAGAACUACAGCUCACUGGCCUGGUUUGUAGGGCCUGCAGGAGGUGCUGCUCCUCCUCCACCAGAAGGACAGCCAUCUUCUUAAACUCCAUCAUGACGCGUUGUCUCCGUUCCUGCACCUUCUCCUGCAGGGUAGGGGUUGGAGGUGCUCCAUGUCAUCCUCCAGCUUCAACUGUGGACAACAGACCAGGGGCUGGGGGUUAGGCCCCUGUACACCCUAUCGGGAGGUACCCUCUGAAGCUGCAUCCUAAGGGGGAUGGAAAUAUACCACCCCCAAAUAUGCCCCUUGGGCAGGAGAAUUAUUUUGAGCUGGAGGCAAAUGAGAAUCAACAGAUGUAGAAAUGCCUUCUGUGGUUCCCAAUAUGUGACUAAAAGAAACUGCCGAGAACUAAGGGCUGCCAUGAAUCUCCCUUCCAGGGAAGUGUUAUGGCCAUGAAGGAGGUAAAAGUGGGUAUCAGGAGGGACCUACACUGAUGAACCCUAUCUUUAAUUAGUUUCUCCCAAAUAUUUAUAUUCUGUCAUGAUCUGAAUGUUCAUGUUCCUUCAAAUUAACAGGUUACAACCUAACACCCAAGGCAUAGGAGGCGGGGCUUUGGGGAGGUGGUGAUGGCACCAGUGGGGAGCCCUCAGGAAUGGGUGGGGUUAGUGUCCUAGUGAGACCUUAGCGCUCCUAGCCCCUUGUUCUGUGUGAGGACAACGAGAGAAAUCUGUCUGUGAACCAGGAAGGGGCCCCAUCUGACUCUGCUGGUGCCAUGAUCUUAGACUUCCAGGCCCCCAAACCAUGAGCUCUCUGGAAUUCUUCCUGUUUAUAAACCACCAGGUCUUGAGUUCUGUGACAGCAGCCGGAAUGAACCAAGACACCUUCCCAGUUAGCUCCCCUUGGGAGCCCGUUGCCUUUCCCUUUGUCUUCUCUCCAAAUGUAUUGUUCCUUGUUCAGACGCUAGACAAGCCCAAGUUCUAAAACCACCUGGUAUUCACUGCUGUGGUUUCUUCCCUGUGAAGUACAUGGGCUACACAUGUUAACAGUUUACCUUUCUUCCCUUGAUAAUGUCUUUUUUCAGUCUAAUUUAAGAUGGAAGGAAAAGAUUUUUUCUUCCCCUACAGGAGGUCACCUGGCCUGCCUAUACAGACAGCUUCUAAGCCACUUUGUCAGCCUGGGCUCCUGAAUGCUCCUGGGAGAGGAUGCCCAGCUGGCCAGCCACCUGCCAACUUUGUUGUAGGGGUUGCAGACACUUCCACCAUGGGGUCCAGUGAACGGGGCUGUUUGUUAUAAGGUUCAUUCUCUUGUCUGACUGACUGUGCUUGACACAUGUGCCCUUAGGCCUCAUUGGCCCCUUGCAGCCCCUCAUCCCUGGGCCCACCUUGUGCUCCUGC